CGCUGAUGCGUUAAGGCUUACUUAGUACGCUGAAUGUAAACAGCUAAAGUGAAGCGGGAUACCAUAGAACAAACAGUGACAUUGUUUGUAUUGGGAUUUGUGCGAUUAUCAAAUAUAGACGAGGUGGCUCCUUAUUUCUAUUUGACAAUCUUCAAGCUGAAAUCGGGGUUAGCCAAUCCUGAUGAAGCUUGAACAAAGCAUUUUGAACAAUUGCAGUAUCUUCCGAGUAAAAAAAUUGCAGACGAACCCUCUCGCAUGUCACGCGGGAGGCUUAGUU
rfam:Mogibacterium pumilum strain ATCC 700696 genome.